UACGUAGGGUGCGAGCGUUAAUCGGAAUUACUGGGCGUAAAGGGUGCGCAGGCGGUCCCGCAAGUCAGGCGUGAAAUCCCCGGGCUUAACCUGGGAAUGGCACUUGAAACUACGGGACUGGAGUAUGGCAGAGGGAGGUGGAAUUCCACGUGUAGCAGUGAAAUGCGUAGAGAUGUGGAGGAAUACCGAUGGCGAAGGCAGCCCCCUGGGAUAACACUGACGCUCAUGCACGAAAGCGUGGGGAGCAAACAGG
rnacentral:rRNA from 1 species